rnacentral:rRNA from 1 species
AUUGAACGCUAGCGGGAUGCUUUACACAUGCAAGUCGAACGAGUGGCGGACGGGUGAGUAAUAUCUCGGAACGUGCCCAGUAGCGGGGGAUAACUACUCGAAAGAGUGGCUAAUACCGCAUACUCUUGGAGCGGCCCAUAUCGGAUUCGCUAGUUGGUGGGGUAACGGCUCACCAAGGCCACGAUCCGUAGCUGGUUUGAGAGGACGACCAGUCACACUGUGACUAAGACACGGCCCAGACUCCUACGGGAGUCAGCAGGGGGGAAUUGUGGACAAUUGGGGAAACCCUGAUCCAGCCAUCCCGCGUGUAUGAGAAGGCCUUCGGGUUGUAAAGUACUUUUGGCAGAGAAGCGGUAUCUGCAGAAUAAGCACCGGCUAACUACGUGCCAGCAGCCGCGGUAAUUC